UGAUGUUAGAGGCGGACGGGUGAGUAACACGUGGGUAACCUGCCUGUAAGACUGGGAUAACUCCGGGAAACCGGGGCUAAUACCGGAUGCUUGUUUGAACCGCAUGGUUCAGACAUAAAAGGGGGCUUCGGCUACCACUUACAGAUGGAUCCGCGGCGCAUUAGCUAGUUGGUGAGGUAACGGGUCACCAAGGCGACGAUGCGUAGCCGACCUGAGAGGGUGAUCGGUCACACUGGGACUGAGACACGGCCAAGACUCCUACGGGAGGCAGCAGUAGGGAAUCUUCCGCAAUGGACGAAAGUCUGACGGAGCAACGCCGCGUGAGUGAUGAAGGUUUUCGGAUCGUAAAGCUCUGUUGUUAGGGAAGAACAAGUGCCGUUCAAAUAGGGCGGCACCUUGACGGUACCUAACCAGAAAGCCACGGCUAACUACGUGCCAGCAGCCGCGGUAAUACGUAGGUGGCAAGCGUUGUCCGGAAUUAUUGGGCGUAAAGGGCUCGCAGGCGGUUUCUUAAGUCUGAUGUGAAAGCCCCCGGCUCAACCGGGGAGGGUCAUUGGAAACUGGGGAACUUGAGUGCAGAAGAGGAGAGUGGAAUUCCACGUGUAGCGGUGAAAUGCGUAGAGAUGUGGAGGAACACCAGUGGCGAAGGCGACUCUCUGGUCUGUAACUGACGCUGAGGAGCGAAAGCGUGGGGAGCGAACAGGAUUAGAUACCCUGGUAGUCCACGCCGUAAACGAUGAGUGCUAAGUGUUAGGGGGUUUCCGCCCCUUAGUGCUGCAGCUAACGCAUUAAGCACUCCGCCUGGGGAGUACGGUCGCAAGACUGAAACUC
rnacentral:rRNA from 1 species